rnacentral:rRNA from 1 species
AAAUGCGAUAAGUAAUGUGAAUUGCAGAAUUCAGUGAAUCAUCGAAUCUUUGAACGCACAUUGCGCCCGGUAGUACUCUACCGGGCAUGCCUGUUCGAGCGUCAUUUCAACCCUCAAGCCCUGCUUGGUGUUGGGGCCCUACGGCUGCCGUAGGCCCUGAAAGGAAGUGGCGGGCUCGCUACAACUCCGAGCGUAGUAAUUCAUUAUCUCGCUAGGGAGGUUGCGGCGUGCUCCUGCCGUUAAAGACCCAUCUUUAACCAAGGUUGACCUCGGAUCAGGUAGGAAUACCCGCUGAACUUAAGCAUAUCAAUAAGCGGAGGAAAAGAAACCAACAGGGAUUGCCCUAGUAACGGCGAGUGAAGCGGCAACAGCUCAAAUUUGAAAUCUGGCUUCGGCCCGAGUUGUAAUUUGUAGAGGAUGCUUUUGGUGAGGUGCCUUCUGAGUUCCCUGGAACGGGACGCCAGAGAGGGUGAGAGCCCCGUAUAGUCGGCCACCGAUCCUUUGUAAAGCUCCUUCGACGAGUCGAGUAGUUUGGGAAUGCUGCUCAAAAUGGGAGGUAUAUCUCUUCUAAAGCUAAAUAUAGGCCAGAGACCGAUAGCGCACAAGUAGAGUGAUCGAAAGAUGAAAAGCACUUUGAAAAGAGGGUUAAAUAGCACGUGAAAUUGUUGAAAGGGAAGCGCUUGUGACCAGACUUGUGCCGGGCUGAUCAUCCAGUGUUCUCA